rnacentral:misc_RNA from 1 species
UACGGAGGGGGCUAGCGUUGUUCGGAAUUACUGGGCGUAAAGCGCACGUAGGCGGCGUAUCCAGUCAGGGGUGAAAGGCCUGGGCUCAACCCGGGAACUGCCUUUGAUACUGAUAUGCUGGAGGCCGGGAGAGGAGGGUGGAAUACCCAGUGUAGAGGUGAAAUUCGUAGAUAUUGGGUGGAACACCGGUGGCGAAGGCGACUUUCUGGUCUGUAACUGACGCUGAGGCGCGAAAGCGUGGGGAGCAAACAGG